rnacentral:rRNA from 1 species
CGAUCACAGGCGAUGAAGGACGCGGUAGCCUGCGAAACGCUACGGGGAGCUGGCAAACGAGCUUUGAUCCGUAGAUGUCCGAAUGGGGAAACCCACUCCUUUUGGAGUAUCCAUGGCUGAAUACAUAGGCCAUGCGAAGCGAACGCGGUGAACUGAAACAUCUAAGUAACCGCAGGAAAAGAAAUCAACCGAGAUUCCCAAAGUAGUGGCGAGCGAAAUGGGAUGAGCCUUGUACUCUUUAUUUGUAUUGUUAGCCGAACGCUCUGGAAAGUGCGGCCAUAGCGGGUGAUAGCCCCGUAGGCGAAAAC